rnacentral:rRNA from 1 species
AAGCGCUUGCAACCAGACUUGCAUGCGGUUGAUCAUCCGGUGUUCUCACCGGUGCACUUGACCGUGUACAGGCCAGCAUCGGUUCAGGUGGCGGGAUAAAGGCCUUGGGAAUGUAGCUUCUUUCGGGGAGUGUUAUAGCCCUUGGU